UAGGCAGAGCCCCUCUGGUUUGGGCGGCUAGCUGUUAAUUAGUUGUUUACGGGAUCGAGGCCCGUCUGUCUAG
rnacentral:tRNA from 1 species